rnacentral:rRNA from 1 species
GGUUUCCGUAGGUGAACCUGCGGAAGGAUCAUUACUGAUUUGCUUAAUUGCACCACAUGUGUUUUUCUUUGAAACAAACUUGCUUUGGCGGUGGGCCCAGCCUGCCGCCAGAGGUCUAAACUUACAACCAAUUUUUUAUCAACUUGUCACACCAGAUUAUUACUAAUAGUCAAAACUUUCAACAACGGAUCUCUUGGUUCUCGCAUCGAUGAAGAACGCAGCGAAAUGCGAUACGUAAUAUGAAUUGCAGAUAUUCGUGAAUCAUCGAAUCUUUGAACGCACAUUGCGCCCUCUGGUAUUCCGGAGGGCAUGCCUGUUUGAGCGUCGUUUCUCCCUCAAACCGCUGGGUUUGGUGUUGAGCAAUACGACUUGGGUUUGCUUGAAAGACGGUAGUGGUAAGGCGGGAUCGCUUUGACAAUGGCUUAGGUCUAACCAAAAACAUUGCUUGCGGCGGUAACGUCUACCACGUAUAUCUUCAAACUUUGACCUCAAAUCA